CCCGGCGCUGCGGAGGCGGCAAAGCCUCCCAGCCCUCCAUCUGUGCUCAGCCCAGCGCCGAGGCCAAAGAGGGCUCUGAGCCCGGCCCCAUGAGGACGCUACUGACCAUCCUGGCCGCGGGAUCCCUGGCCGCUCACAUGGUGGAGGACACCUCGAAUCUGCUCCAGCACGUAAAAUUCCAGUCCAGUAACUUCGAAAACAUCCUGACGUGGGACAGCGGGCUGGAGAGCGCCCCGGACACAGUCUACAGUGUGGAGUAUAAAAGGUACGGAGAGAGAGAGUGGCUGGCGAAGGAGGGCUGCCAGAGGGUCACCCGGAAAUCCUGCAACCUGACCGCGGAGACGGGCAACGUCACGGAGCUCUACUACGCCCGGGUAACUGCCACCAGCGUGGGAGGCCGGUCAGCCACCAAGAUGACCGAUCGGUUCAGCUCGCUGCAACACACUACCAUCAAACCACCGGACGUGACCUGUAUCCCCAAGGUGAGAUCCAUCCAGAUGAUUGUCCAUCCCACCUCCACGCCUAUCUGCGCCAGGGAUGGCCACCGGCUAAUCCUGGAGGACAUCUUCCCUGACCUAUUCUACCGCUUAGAGCUCCAGGUCAACCACACCUACCAAAUGCACCUUGGAGGGAAGCAGAGAGACUACGAGUUCAUUGGCCUGACGCCUGACACAGAGUUCCUUGGGACCAUCAUGAUUUUUGUUCCAACCUGGUCCAAAGAGAGCGCUCCCUACGUGUGCCGAGUAAAGACCCUGCCAGAUCGGACGUGGACAUACUCCUUCUCAGGCGCCUUCCUGUUCUCCGCGGGCUUCCUCGUCGCGGGGCUGUGCUACCUGAGUUACAGAUACGUCACCAAGCCGCCUCCACCUCCCGACUCCCUGAACGUCCAGAGAGUACUGACCUUCCAGCCUCUGCGGUUCAUCCAGGAGCACGUGCUGAUCCCUGUCUUUGACCUCAGCAGCCCCAGCAGUCUGGCCCAGCCCGUCCAGUACUCCCAAGUCAAGGUCUCCGGGCCCAGGGAGCCCCCAGGAGCCCCGCCACUGCACAGCCUGUCCGAAAUCGCGUAUCUCGGGCAGCCAGACAUCAUCCUCCGGCCCUCUGGAGUGCCAGCUCACCAGACGCUCUCCCCACAGUCCUACGCACCCCAGGCCACCCCCGAAGUCAGGCCCCCUUCCUAUGCACCGCAAGUAACCCCCGAAGCCAAAACUCCAUUCUACACUGCACAGGCCGUGUCCGAGGUCCAGCCUCUCUCCUACACCCCUCAGACCACUCCAGCCUGCUGGCCUUCCUAUGGGACCUGCGGGGAAGGCUCUGGCGAAGACUCCCCACCUGUAACACUCUCCAGCCCCAAACACCUCAGGACUAAAGGGCUCCAAAAAAAGGCACCAGCUGGAACCUAUAUCCCAGAUGGCCUUUCUCUGCAAGGGGUGACCUCCUUGGAUAUGGAGGACCCCCAAGAAGAAAAUUUCUUCCACCAACCUGCAGGAGUUCACACGGACAGAGUACCUGACCCCAGUGUGCUACACGGAGGGGACCCAGGCACACCAUCGUACUUAAAGGGCCAGCUUCCCCUCCUCUCCUCUGUCCAGAUCGAGGGCCACCCGGUAUCCCUCCCUUUGCACACUCCUUCCCUCCCAUGUUCCCCCACAGACCAGGAACCAAGUCCCUGGGGCCUGCUGGAGUCCCUCGUGUGUCCCAAGGACGAGGGUCGCGUGCCUGAGAUGGAGGCCCAGAGCCCAGGCUCUCAGGCCUCAGACCUGGAGCAGCCCACAGAACUGGACUCUCUCUUCAGAGGCCUGGCCCUGACCGUGCAGUGGGAGGCCUGAGCAGAGAACAGGGCAGGCCUGGGGCUCCCUCCCUGUCCCCACCCAAGCUCACAUCGUUGGCCAUCGCUCCGCCUCAGGGGAAUUCCCUUGAAAGAACCAAAGGAAAGAGGGACCCGGGGCCCCUGCCACGGCUGAGCUAUGGUUGGAGCAAAACGGCAUGCUGAGGACUCCAGCCAGAGGGGUUCCGGGUACGCCUCAUGUGCCGAUGAGCUCUGCGGGGCAGGAGGGGACAGUCUGAGUGCCGGGCGUUAAUGCAGGGAGACUUCACAGAGAUCCAGCGCCCCAGCUCCUGAGAUGCUGGACACAAAGUUCUCCACCUCACUCCCGGCCAGUUUCAUAACCUAGUUCGACAGAGAGUGAGGUCUCUGCCUCCUCUGUGUUCCCCUGUCCUGAGAAACAGAGCCUGGAAAGGACGCCUCCCAGCCGGCUGGGCAGCACCAGAACAACCGCACUGCUGUCAAGGCCAGAGGCAGCACGACGGCAAGACGCCAGGGACGGGUGCGGCCUGGGGUUCAGUCCCGACCCAGCCGCUGUCGGAAAUCACAGCAUCUCAACUGUGCUUCUCUGCUAGAGGCUGUACCCCAGGUGAAACGCAGGUCAGCCGGGGGGAGAACACACGAGCCCUUUCUGCCGGCAGAAGCUGUGGACCCCUCCUGAGAGCAGGGUUCGUAAGGAAAGGGGGGCCACGUGGCCUCUGAAGUAGACACAACGAGAAGGAGCACACACUGUACGACUUUGAAAACUCAGCCUUGGGUUCAGCUCAUCUGGGUUCCGAUUUCACUUACCAGCUGUAUGACUUCAAGCCAAUGAAUCACUGCUCGAAAUCUCGGUUUCUUCAUCUGUAAAAUGGGGAUGGUAACACCUACUUCACGGGGUUGUGGCCUGAGCAUCAGCCUGAAUGAGGAGGCUAGGACCACGUGUCACCGACAAGCCUGGUCCCCUGUUGCUGUCCCCACCCUCCGUUCCAGAAAAUGAGACAGAAAUGAUCAGCGAAGGCCAGCAUCAUUGAGCCCACUGUACAGAUAACAGAGGCAGAAUGGUGGAGUGACUUACCCAAGGUCCUACAGCAAAGUUGUCCCCGAGGCACUAGGAAGAGUGACAGGCACGGUGUUGCUGGCCCCCUGAGGCCCCAGGAGGAGGCCAGGGAGGGGAGCUGUGCUCUCUGGACCAGCGCUGGCACCCCCUUCCUCAAACCUGCUCAGCCCUGAGACCUGGCUCAGGUGCACCAUCCUGAUCGCCCCCCCCCACCCCGUAACUGCCUGUCUCUCCACCUAAACUAAGCCUUCCUCCACACCGUGGGUGCUGUGCCCUCCUGCCGGCAAAGGGUGGGUGUGGCUGACCGUGGGGGGAAGAACUGAGGUACGGAGGGGGUGUGGCAACGGCUGCGGAGACCGGGUGGCCACUCUGGAAGCCCGAGAAGUGCCCCCAGUGAAGGAAGAGGUAGCCUCCCCCCUCUCCUGCCCGGGCCACAGCCCCUGCACUCGCAGGGCCUGGCACGGCAAACAAGCUGCUUCCAUCCUGGCCGGUGAUGUUGGGCAAGCAGGGGACGCUCGCUUUAGGUCACAUUCCUUCCGCUGUCUUCACGCAGUGUCCAGUCUCACAGGUCCACUGGUCACAUGGGGAUCCGAUCAGAGACGCUGGGUGUCUUCUCCAAGACACCCGUCAGAAGCCCAGCAGCAGGGAGAGCCACCCCGUACCCGCUUCCGCUACAACCAGACCU